rnacentral:rRNA from 1 species
ACUUUACAAUGCGGGAAACCGUGAUAAGGGGAUCUCGAGUGCCAGCAUAUAAUGUUGGCUGUCCAGAUGCCUAAAAAGCAUCUGUUAGCAAGGGCCGGGCAAGACCGGUGCCAGCCGCCGCGGUAACACCGGCGGCCCGAGUGGUAACCGCUAUUAUUGGGUCUAAAGGGUCUGUAGCCGGCCAGGUAAGUCCCUUGGGAAAUCUGGCAGCUCAACUGUCAGGCUGCUAGGGGAUACUGUUUGGCUUGGGACCGGGAGAGGUGAGAGGUACCUUGGGGGUAGGGGUGAAAUCUUGUGAUCCUCGAGGGACCACCAGUGGCGAAGGCGUCUCACCAGAACGGGUCCGACGGUAAGGGACGAAAGCUAGGGGCACGAACCGGAUUAGAUACCCGGGUAGUCCUAGCCGUAAACGAUGCUCGCUAGGUGUCAGUCACGGUGCGACCGUGAUUGGUGCCGUAGGGAAGCCGUGAAGCGAGCCACCUGGGAAGUAUGGCCGCAAGGCUGAAACUUAA